GGGGUUGACUGGAUUUGACAGCAAGCCGAGAUGGUACGUAAGCAUGCGGAGUGACGGCUGUAUACUCCAUAAUCCAUUCGGUCGAAAAAUUAAUUGGCAACAAUGAGUAUGCUCUCGCUGCCUAAUCGAAGUAUAGUAGAUUAAGAGCUUAAUUUCCCUGCAAGGCGGGGAAACGAGACGUCGCUCCGAGGAUGUUGUUCCGAAUCCGGAGAUCAAGCGGCGCAGGUUAAAUCGGAAAUAGUCCGGGCAGGCCCCGAUGUCGGGAUGAAACUUUAGGGGAUAAGGUUGCAAUUGGUGGCUUGGGUCUUGUUGCGACACGAAAAUGAAGGCCAAGAUAAGCAUGUAGAAAGCGUAUGGUUUCCUUGUUUGGACGAGGGUUCGAUUCCCUCCAGCUCCAC
rnacentral:tmRNA from 1 species